AGAGUUUGAUCAUGGCUCAGGAUAAACGCUAGCGGCAGGCCUAACACAUGCAAGUCGAGGGGCAUCGGAUAGAGUACUUCGGUACUCUUGCCGGCGACCGGCGGACGGGUGCGUAACGCGUAUGCAACCUACCUUCAACAGGGGGAUAAUCCGAAGAAAUUUGGUCUAAUACCCCAUAAUAUUCCGACAGGCAUCUGUCGGAGUUGAAAGCUUCGGUGGUUGGAGAUGGGCAUGCGUUGUAUUAGCUAGAUGGUGAGGUAACGGCUCACCAUGGCGAUGAUACAUAGGGGGACUGAGAGGUUUUCCCCCCACACUGGUACUGAGACACGGACCAGACUCCUACGGGAGGCAGCAGUGAGGAAUAUUGGUCAAUGGACGGAAGUCUGAACCAGCCAUGCCGCGUGCAGGAUGAAUGUGCUAUGCAUUGUAAACUGCUUUUGUACGAGGGUAAACACAGAUACGCGUAUCUGCUUGAAAGUAUCGUACGAAUAAGGAUCGGCUAACUCCGUGCCAGCCGCCGCGGUAAUUC
rnacentral:rRNA from 1 species